rnacentral:rRNA from 1 species
UACGUAGGGGGCAAGCGUUGUCCGGAUUUAUUGGGCGUAAAGAGCGUGUAGGCGGCCUUACAGGUCAGCUGUGAAAACUCGAGGCUCAACCUCGAGACGUCGGUUGAAACCGUAAGGCUAGAGUCCGGAAGAGGAGAGUGGAAUUCCCGGUGUAGCGGUGAAAUGCGCAGAUAUCGGGAAGAACACCCGUGGCGAAAGCGGCUCUCUGGGACGGUACUGACGCUGAGACGCGAAAGCGUGGGGAGCAAACAGG